UCGCUGACAGGAAUACAGGCGCUACGUUUUCACUUGGUACGACCUGAACGCUGCAUCAACGUUAAUGAGACAAAAAAUAAGUUCAGCAGCGAUCACAGCAGAAACUCUUCAGCAGGUCCAGGGUCUGCCGCCAGGUGGACACGGCGUCCUCACCAAGGAGGAGGAGCUCUUCCUGCUGUUUCAUUGUCUCAGUCUCCGCCCCCACCUGUGCUGUCUGCUGAGCACGAACCUUUGAUGAGCAGGGAGACGAUUCUCUUCACUCUGUCAGGACCCACACACCUGUGUUCCUGAGCCCACACAGCCUCCAUCACAUGCUGGUGUUGGUCAGACCUCCGAACACUCCUGAUCCACCAGUUUGUAAGUAUCACUGACUCUACAUUAGUGUGCAUUAUAAGCACUCUCAAAUAUCCUUAUAGCUCUGAGCUGUUAGAUUUGCCCUCUUGGCCUUCAAUGGCACUUUUCACUGGGAUAAAUAAAGACGCAUCAAAGUCACU